rnacentral:lncRNA from 1 species
AAGAGUGGGGCCAUUACUUGCAAAAUCGCCACUUUUGUCAGGCUGAGAAGCUUCAUAUUCCUUCCACAACUUUAUCAGUUCUUGCAUACAUUCCCCAACUUUGUAAACAACAAUCGACACCUCUGACUUGCCUGAAUCUUCAGUAGAAUAAAUUCAACAGGCUGUUAACUAAAUUAUAAACUGCAAAUUUCUUUCGCAUAACAGCAGAAGUAUAAAAUUGUAGAAGAUUAAAAGUAGCAAACACUUGAUAAUGUUUAGUUGACCUAAACCUUAGACCAAUCCUGAAAAACACGGAGAUAUAAGCAAUAAGCAGCCCAAAUCUGAUGUAGCAUUGAGGAUGAAACCGACUUUUUGGUCCAAUCUUUUUGUAUUUGACAUUCUACUGUGAGAGUAACGAACUACGACCUAAAGUCAAAUCUACGAAGGGUGAUAUAAAUUGGUUAUCAAGUAGAUGUGUUUCGUAGAUAACCAUUAUCAAUGCACAUGUAAAAACGAAUGCAAUUUAACCGAUUUUUUUACUAUUGUUUUCCAAGCAGUGCAACUCUAUCCUUUCUCGAGGAUAUCGAAACGAGUGAUUACCUUGUACCCUGCAAAAUAAACACAAUCAAACAUGGAUGAUAUGUUAAAAGGCAAGCAGUGAUUGAAUAAAGUUAAGGACUUGGCCAAUAACUAACUUACAUGAUAAAAAGAAAUACAGGAGAAGAUAAUCUUAAUACAGAGAGAAAAGGAGGCGGUAGGGAAGAAUAUCCAGAGGAACUACAAAUUUGGGUCUAAAGAGAUAAAGUGACACUACAAAAUACAAUUAUGGGUGCAUAAUUUCCUAAAAGGCUUUUUUAUCUCUUGCGUGAAAAAAACAAUAAUGGUACUGUAAUAAGAUAUUUCAACAAUUAUCGCCCGUAAAAUGUCUUAUCACCCGCAGAUUAUACUAAAUGUAGGUUCAAAUUUUAACCAAUCCUGGCAUGUCUUUCUAAAUGGUAAAAAAUAUUAAUGAUUUUGCUAAGAUAUGAGAGGCUAAUACUUAGACGGAGUCUAAGAUUAAUGUGUAAGACAGAGAGACUCACCCUUCGUUCUCCUGACUCCGUGAACGGACACGGUCGCGGUUUGUGGUUUGUGGACUGCCUCUAGGUCUCAGCAUCCUCUUCCGUUGCUGAACUCCAUAAUUAAAGGCGUCUUUUUCCCUCUCCGCAGCUCCUUCACCCUCCAAACACCCAUCUUCAGAUUCUUUUUCACUGAUUCUGCUGCGCUUUUCAGCUCUUUCUGUUUCGGAAUCACCAUCCCUCUCUCUCCUUUUAUCCUUUGAUUCUCUUUCAUCUUUUUCCCAACCCUCCGGUUCAUUCAGCUUCUUCUGCUCUGGUGCCACAUAUUCCUGUUCUGCAGGUUUGGUAGGUCCUUCUCCCAACUCUUUCUC